UUUCCACAAUCUUUGGAAAGGAGUUGAGAAGAAUUAACAUUUUCUGAGGACUUGCACUUACCUUACACUCCACUGGGAUCCUUCCUACAUAUCAGAUACACACAGCAACCCAAAGAGAAACUGGGCAUACAGUCUUCAGUCUCAUGAAACAUGCAGCCAAAGUUUAAGUUGGGUUGAAGUUGGAGGGAGCCUAGAACCUACUUCUGGACUUGACAGGCCUGGCUCUUCCAGAUGUCACAGGAAUUACAGAGAACUACAAACAUUCAGUGACUAGUGACCAGAUGCUCUGCAAUGCUAGAACAGGCUUCGGAAAAAGAAGACUCAUACCAUUUUCUGCACUACUUUGGAAUAUCCCACCAGAUGUUAUUGUAUGUAUAAAAAUUGUUCAUACUUAGCUGAGUUUGAAAACAACUUUCAUUUUACAUAGAAACCCAAAGUAUUUGUUGCACAUUUUAAUAAUCACUAAAAUGUUUUUGGAGGUGCAAAAUUUCUUGUAAAAAUGGGAAAGUCUGUCCUUAGUUUUGUUUGGAAUUUUGUCAAGAGUUGUAAACCAUAUCACAAACUUUAGCAUCAAUAGGGGUUCUGUUAGACCUAUUUGAGGUACCUGUAUCUGAGAAUUGAUAAAAAUAAAUUUUUACUUUGAAGUUCAUUCAAUGGAUCUAAAGGUAAUUAUUUUCAAAUUUGCAGAAUUAUGAGUUGCAGUGAUCUCAUUGAA